AGUGAACGCUGGCGGUAGGCCUAACACAUGCAAGUCGAACGGCAGCACAGUAAGAGCUUGCUCUUACGGGUGGCGAGUGGCGGACGGGUGAGGAAUACAUCGGAAUCUACUUUUUUGUGGGGGAUAACGUAGGGAAACUUACGCUAAUACCGCAUACGACCUACGGGUGAAAGCAGGGGAUCUUCGGACCUUGCGCGAUUGAAUGAGCCGAUGUCGGAUUAGCUAGUUGGCGGGGUAAAGGCCCACCAAGGCGACGAUCCGUAGCUGGUCUGAGAGGAUGAUCAGCCACACUGGAACUGAGACACGGUCCAGGCUCCUACGGGAGGCAGCAGUGGGGAAUAUUGGACAAUGGGCGCAAGCCUGAUCCAGCCAUACCGCGUGGGUGAAGAAGGCCUUCGGGUUGUAAAGCCCUUUUGUUGGGAAAGAAAAGCAGCAGGUUAAUACCCCGCUGUUCUGACGGUACCCAAAGAAUAAGCACCGGCUAACUUCGUG
rnacentral:rRNA from 1 species